rnacentral:misc_RNA from 1 species
CAAACUGCGCGUCGACAUGUGAACUGCAGGACACAUGAACAUCGACGAUUCGAACGCACAUGGCGGUCCUUGGAGUUGUUUCCCGGACCACGUCCGCCCGAGGGUCGUGAACGUAAAGUGCCGUAAGAUUUCGGCGUAGUCGGGCGUUCCGUGAGCGUCUGCUGUUGUGUGUUAGCGAGCGAGCGGACGUUUGAAUAUUCGGUCGCCUUAGAUGUGACUGCAGAGCUGUGUGCUCGCGGUGUGUUUGAGGCGUUGCGCUGGUGUUCCCGUGCGCCGCCGCAGCGAGGAAGUGUUUGAUGGCGGCGCCGGUGUGAGACUUGUGAUUGAUUGAUUGAUUGAUUGAGUGUUGUAUGAGCGUUUCAGCGGAACAAAGCGCUAGUCGACUAAGCAACGCAAUGUAUUUCGACCUCGGUUCGGGCGAGACUACCCGCCGAAUUUAAGC